UACGUAGGGUGCAAGCGUUAAUCGGAAUUACUGGGCGUAAAGCGUGCGCAGGCGAUGAUGUAAGACAGGUGUGAAAUCCCCGGGCUUAACCUGGGAACUGCAUUUGUGACUGCAUCGCUGGAGUGCGGCAGAGGGGGGUGGAAUUCCACGUGUAGCAGUGAAAUGCGUAGAGAUGUGGAGGAACACCGAUGGCGAAGGCAGCCCCCUGGGCCGACACUGACGCUCAUGCACGAAAGCGUGGGGAGCAAACAGG
rnacentral:rRNA from 1 species